rnacentral:tRNA from 1 species
CAGGGAGACAAAAACUGAUCGUGAUGUCUGAGCUUUUAUUCUUAGGCCAUGAUCCUGUCACCUUAGGUCGAUCGGUACCUCAAUUUUUUCAAUUUUCUUGGAAAACUUCAGUUCCUAAACUUUGUCUAGGUCACACCCAGCAAGGGUACUCCUGGGCCAUUAGCUCAGGUGGUUAGAGCGCACCCCUGAUAAGGGUGAGGUCCCUGGUUCAAGUCCAGGAUGGCCCAUUCGGUGUUGGGGGUAUAGCUCAGUUGGUAGAGCGCCUGCUUUGCAAGCAGGAUGUCAGCGGUUCGAGUCCGCUUACCUCCACUGAUCACACUCCUGAUAGCCAAUUAAAGGAGAUUCCUUUUGCUUGUUGUGAAUUAGUCCUGUUUAUCUGAAUGACCGACCCUAGCUUCUUAUCAUUCCUACUUAAAAUUAUUUUUGUUAGGUUGAAAUGAAGCUGGGCUCACUUAAAUUCUUUUGAAUUUUAGUAAGUCUCAGUAGAACCUUGAAAACUGCAUAGAUAGUCUGGAAAAAUAAAGCAUCUCAUGGAUGCAUUAUUUUGGAUCUUAAAGCAAGUUAUGCUUAGGCUUUUCUUGUUUUAUUUAUUCAAUUAAUAAUGUUUAUUUCUUGAGUCAAGAGCCGAGACUCUAUAGAAAAUUAUUUAUUCUAUAGAGAUUAAUU